GUUUAUUCCCCAGCUGCUUUGUUGUCUCAGAUCAGCAGAAUAAGGGAGCCGUGUCGGCGGAAGAUACUUCUGUGCAGCCAGCGAGAAGUUCACACAGAAAAUUGAUAUUCGCCGCAAAUUAUUUUGGAUGAUUUACUGGAAUGAAUUAACUCACAGCGACGCGGAGAAAAUUCCAACAGCACUGCUGCCUGCCUCCCGCCACCGACGGCACCACAGGAGGAUUCCAGCCUCAGCCUUCUGUGGUGAGGCUGGAGUGUGCGAGACGGGCAUCUCCCAGAAGAUCAUCAGCAAGAAGGAGGUCCCCAUGAUCACAGAAAUGAGGGUUUUGGAGCCUGGGAACAGCUGGCAACAUGGGAAGGAGGCUGCAGUACAAGGAAAAGCAUAGGAGAAUGGAGGAACAGCGAGUCCUUUCUCACUGCUCCUUCUAGAGGAGGGGAUUUCCUUUUCCUCCUCAACAGACAUCCACAUCUCUGUCAUCGAGGAACACCCUUCAAGGGAAGGGAUAGUUUAGGAGAGCUGAAUGAUGCUCCCCAGAGCAGCAACAGCAUCUGCCCACAGCAAGACCAUCAAAGCAGCUGCUGGACGCCCCGAGGGCAGCGGCACCGACAGGGACGGAUGUUUGCUUUAAUUACAGCGAGUGUGUGUACCUUUACACAUCGCCCAAAUCACCCACCCCUGCGGCAUAAUUCACUCAAAGGGGCUUUUCCACCCGAGUCAGCAAAAUGAAGAGAUUCAAUUACAGCCUUUGACUGGGCCUGCUUAUUGUUAUUUAUAAUACAAUACAUCCCGGCUGCUGCGGAGAGAGAUGUACAGGUCCUGAAAUGUUGGCUGUCUUGGCAGUUAAUUGAAACGGCGGCGCCUUGCUAGGAUUGCUUGUCCCGGCCUCCCCGACACCGAGCAGUGGCACCUACCUGCUGUACCCUAAUAGAGAGGCACUGUCACCAAAGGACACCCGUGGCAGGAGCAGACCUCUUAAAAGCCGCCAACCCCUGCGCUCCAAACCCAACAGCCGCCGAGCUACAAUGAGGGGUUUCAAAUGAAUCCUGGAAGAGCACUUGGAGGAGAAUGGCUCUAUUUUUGAAGAAUGACACAGGGGGGAUCCACAGCCAUUUCCUCUGAAUGGCUGCAGACCCAGCUGCACUUUAUAAGCAAAGUGAUGGAUAUUUUUCCUCCCCUCUAGCUGCUCUGUCUCACUCCAUCUGCGACAAAGUCGUGCUACCUGAGUCCUUUGUGUCCCUGCCUCGGGAUUAAGGAGAGGAUGGAGAGGUGGAAAAGGAACUCAUUAGCGUACCAGGGGCACAAAGUGGGAGGAGAAGUGGCUUUGCCUCCUGGAUCAGGGCAGGCUUGACUGGGCUUGUGGGAAGGGCUCGGCUCGGUGCCAAGGA
rnacentral:lncRNA from 1 species